UACGGAAGGGGCAAGCGUUGUUCGGAAUCAUUGGGCGUAAAGGGCGCGUAGGCGGCAAUUCAAGUCAUCUGUGAAAUCUCCGGGCUUAACUCGGAACGGUCAGAUGAUACUGCUUUGCUAGAGUGCGGAAGGGGCAAUCGGAAUUCUUGGUGUAGCGGUGGAAUGCGCAGAUAUCAGGAGGAACACCAAUAGCGAAGGCAGCUCGCUGGGACGGUACUGACGCUAAGGCGCGAAAGCGUGGGGAGCGAACAGG
rnacentral:rRNA from 1 species